CAAUUUGCUUAUAGGCUUUAUUUGCUAUCUUUUCGUAUCCGUAAGUUAGACCAUACAACAAGUUCUAUCGGCAUCCAAGGAGCUGACGUGGACCUAGAUGGCUACGCUGAAGCCACUGUUGGUUGGCUCACUAGGAGCAGGAUUGGGGUGAACGCAUGUGUAAGGAGGUUGGGGGCAUGGUUCACAACGGUGGAACCCGGUGAAAGCAGCGACCAAGUAGCCUUGCUUAGGCCCAGCAAGUGCCCGACUGCUAGGACGGAUCAAUAUCCCACUCGUGCAGUAACUAGUUAAGUGGGACCUU
rnacentral:lncRNA from 1 species